rnacentral:lncRNA from 1 species
GUGGAUGUGGAAAGAGAAGUUUGCAGAACUGAAAUGGAGGUCAGAGCUUCAUUACGGAAGGUUAGUGGGUCAUCGGAUUCUGUGACUACACUCAACAGUGAAGAAUUUGUUUUGGUUCCUCAGCAUGGAGGUGAUACUUCUACAAAAGAUGAUGAAAAACCUGAACUGAAGAUAGUUUCUAAUGGUGAUGAACAACUGGAAAAAGCCAUGGAAGAGAUUUUGAGAGAUUCGGAGAAGGGGCAAAGUAGCCUUCCUGUUGAUUGUCCAAGUUCCAGUGAGAUUUCAGACCAUUCAUUUGGAAAUAUUUCAGCCAGGCAAACAAAUAAGCCAUCUCUUCAGUUAAUUUUGGAUCCAUCAAAUACAGAAAUUUCUACACCCAGACCAUCUUCUCCAAGUGAAAUACCUGAAGAGGAUAGUGUUUUAUUUAACAAACUGACCUAUUUAGGAUGUAUGAAGGUCUCUUCCCCACGUAAUGAAGUGGAAGCUUUACGGGCAAUGGCAACUAUGAAAUCUUCCAGUCAGCACCCCUUUCCCGUUACUCUGUAUGUGCCAAAUGUUCCAGAAGGUUCUGUGAGAAUCAUAGACCAGUCCAACCAUGUGGAGAUAGCAUCCUUUCCGAUCUAUAAGGUACUGUUCUGUGCGCGUGGCCACGACGGGACGACAGAGAGCAGUUGCUUUGCGUUUACAGAGAGUUCCCAUGGUUCUGAAGAAUUCCAGAUACAUGUCUUCUCCUGUGAAAUUAGAGAAGCAGUAAGCAGAAUUUUAUAUAGUUUCUGUACAGCUUUCAAACGUUCUUCUAGACAAGUAUCAGAUGUUAAAGACUCGGUUAUUCCUACCCCCGACAGUGAUGUGUUUACCUUCAGUGUCUCGUUGGAGGUAAAAGAAGAUGAUGGAAAAGGAAACUUUAGUCCUGUGCCUAAGGAUCGAGAUAAAUUUUAUUUCAAAUUAAAACAAGGAAUAGAGAAGAAGGUUGUGAUUACAGUGCAGCAACUUUCUAACAAAGAAUUAGCUAUUGAAAGAUGUUUUGGAAUGUUAUUAAGCCCAGGUCGAAACGUGAAGAACAGUGACAUGCAUUUACUGGAUAUGGAAUCCAUGGGAAAGAGCUGUGAUGGGAGAGCUUAUGUUAUCACUGGCAUGUGGAACCCCAAUGCACCAAUAUUUCUGGCACUUAAUGAAGAAACCCCAAAAGAUAAACGAGUAUACAUGACCGUGGCAGUGGAUAUGGUAGUCACAGAGGUGGUGGAGCCAGUCCGCUUUCUCCUGGAGACAGUAGUACGUGUGUACCCUGCAAAUGAACGAUUUUGGUAUUUCAGCAGAAAAACUUUCACGGAGACUUUCUUCAUGAGGUUAAAACAGUCUGAGGGGAAAGGCCAUACCAAUGCUGGGGAUGCAAUAUAUGAGGUGGUGAGUCUACAGCGAGAGUCUGAGAAGGAGGAUCCAGUCACUCCUACUAGUGGAGGGGGCCCAUUGUCACCCCAGGAGGAUGAAGCAGAAGUGGAGAGUGAUAAUGAACUCUCAAGCGGAACAGGUGAUGUGUCUAAGGAUUGUCCUGAGAAGAUCCUAUAUUCUUGGGGAGAAUUGCUAGGAAGAUGGCACAGUAACCUUGGUGCACGACCAAAGGGGCUGUCCACUCUGGUGAAGAGUGGUGUUCCUGAAGCAUUGAGGGCAGAGGUAUGGCAAUUAUUAGCAGGCUGCCAUGACAACCAAGCGAUGCUGGAUAGGUACCGACUUCUUAUCACAAAGGACUCAGCCCAGGAGAGUGUUAUUACUCGAGAUAUUCAUCGUACAUUUCCUGCACAUGAUUACUUCAAAGAUACUGGAGGAGAUGGCCAAGAAUCUCUCUACAAGAUCUGCAAGGCCUACUCUGUCUAUGAUGAAGACAUUGGGUACUGUCAAGGACAGUCUUUUCUUGCUGCUGUAUUGCUGCUGCAUAUGCCAGAAGAACAAGCAUUCUGUGUUUUGGUGAAAAUCAUGUAUGACUAUGGUUUACGAGACCUCUACAAAAACAACUUUGAAGAUCUUCACUGCAAAUUCUAUCAGUUGGAGAGACUCAUGCAGGAGCAGUUACCGGACCUGCACAACCAUUUUUCUGAUCUGAACCUAGAAGCUCAUAUGUACGCAUCCCAGUGGUUUCUCACUCUCUUUACUGCCAAGUUCCCACUCUGCAUGGUCUUCCACAUCAUUGACUUACUGCUUUCUGAGGGUUUGAACAUAAUCUUUCAUGUAGCCUUGGCUCUCCUAAAGACCUCAAAGGAAGAUCUUCUGCAGGCUGAUUUUGAAGGCGCCUUAAAGUUCUUCAGAGUCCAGCUUCCAAAGAGAUACAGGGCAGAGGAAAAUGCAAGAAGGCUAAUGGAGCAGGCUUGCAACAUUAAGAAAUACUCAGAGGGGAAAAGGAACCUUUUUUUUUUUCUUUCACACUUCUUGAGAUAAUUAAUUACACCAAGAAUUUGAUAAAUUCUGAAAAAUUAAAUGUUGCCAUCUAUUUAUUUUCUGUGAACAUGAAAAAAAUAAGCAGUAAGAAAAUCUACAUCUUCUCCAAGAAGACACAUCUUGAUAUAAGUAAUACUGAAGUAAGAAGAUAAACUUAAAAAAAUUCUGAUUAUCAAGAACAUAACAUCAAUUUUUGUGGUUUUUGGUUUCCUUUUUAUUUUUUCUUCCAUUUUUGCUCUAGAAUAUUUCCAUUUAGGAGACUUUUUUGAAGUUUUAAGAAGAUUUCCCAAAACUAAAUUUUCCAGCUACUCUGUUAAGAAUGCAGAAGGUGUUUAUAGUAUAUACUUCCUCCGUAGAUAAGAGACCUCCCUCAGUUUUCUAGUGGAGGUGAAUUGCUAGACAAGCCUAUGAUAGCACCUGCUUUUUUUUUUUUUUCCCCUCCUCUGGAUUUUUGACACUCCACCCCCUCAAACUCAGGUGGGUGUGUGCAUUGGCACCAAGCUGCAAUAGGAUUUUCCCCUGGAUAGUCUGGUCUGGAGCUGGGAUAGCAGCUGCUGCUGUGGAAAGACCAGCUGGCAAGAUGAUGGAAGAAAUCUCCAUUAUGGUAGCCUAUGACGCCCAUGUUUUCAGCCAGCUGCACGACGAAGACUUCCUCACUAGUCUGGUGGCCAUCAGCAAGCCCAGGUCUAUG